GUGAGACUGUAGGGGCUCCCGGCCUCCCCAGGCAAUCGAGGUCCACACCCGAGACGGAGGCCCCUCCCGAGACCCCUCUCCCGGCCACAGUGAGCGCGAGCGAGUGGCUCCGUGGCGAGACCCCGCCCCAGUCUCUUUAUUCCAAGCCCCGUGCUGGUCUAGAUCGGGGCUGCAGAGCCGAGUCCCCACCCACCCCGCGCCCCUCGCAGCCUGCACCCCGGGAGUCGAGGGGGGACCCUGAUUCCUCUCCAGCGCCGCCCUGCAGACCCCAGGGACUGAAAUGAAACUCGCUUCCCUUCUCCACGUGAACCCCCAUCCAGGUCUGGCAGCUGGAGGAUCGGGGGCCCCGCCCCCCCAGGCUCCAGUCCCAGCGGCCCCCUUCAGGACAGAGUGGGCGUCUCUCCACGGCAGCCUCUGUAGGGACCCCGAGGUCGCAAUCGUGGAAGCCUCCCCUUGGCUGCUCGGAAGCGCCAGGGCCUUGUGGCUUCGUCCCAGUGCCAGCCCCGUCCCACAGGGGCCCCCCGGCUCCCCUGUGCCCAUCUGAUGGGGAAACUGAGGCACAGAGCCGGACAGUGACCCAAACACUGGGAGCUGCCAGUGGGGAGCACAGAGCUCAGGCCUGGCCCAGCUGGCUCAGGGUACAGAUCCACUGUUACUUCCUGGCUGCAACCUUGGCAAGUAGCUUCCCUCCUCGGAGGGGAAUCACCUUUCCUAUCUAUAAAAUGGCCCAGAGUGUCUCCCCUACACUGCGCUUAUCCAUCCUCAUCCACCCUCGCCCAUGAACUCUUACACAAGCUUAAAAACCCUA
rnacentral:lncRNA from 1 species